GAGUUUGAUCCUGGCUCAGAACGAACGCUGGCGGCAUGCCUAACACAUGCAAGUCGAACGAACCCUUCGGGGUUAGUGGCGCACGGGUGCGUAACGCGUGGGAACCUGCCUUUAGGUUCGGAAUAACAGUUAGAAAUGACUGCUAAUACCGGAUAAUGUCUUCGGACCAAAGAUUUAUCGCCUUUAGAUGGGCCCGCGUUAGAUUAGAUAGUUGGUGGGGUAAUGGCCUACCAAGUCGACGAUCUAUAGCUGGUCUGAGAGGAUGAUCAGCCACACUGGGACUGAGACACGGCCCAGACUCCUACGGGAGGCAGCAGUGGGGAAUAUUGGACAAUGGGCGAAAGCCUGAUCCAGCAAUGCCGCGUGAGUGAUGAAGGCCUUAGGGUUGUAAAGCUCUUUUACCAGGGAUGAUAAUGACAGUACCUGGAGAAUAAGCUCCGGCUAACUCCGUGCCAGCAGCCGCGGUAAUA
rnacentral:rRNA from 1 species